AGAAGACCUCCCGUAAAUCAAGCCGUUUCACGCAAACGCAGGUUGUAAAAAAGCGGAAUGACGUGUGAACACAUCAUCCCGC
rnacentral:sRNA from 1 species